CGUAUGGCAUUGUUCAAAAUCGAUAGCGCGACGCGCCCGAGACGUUGCGCCCGCCCGGGUAAUUCGAUUUUGAACUUUAAUAAAUCUACUCGUCGUAAUACCUACGCGUUUUGAAUUAAAUUAAAAGCGGAUUAUAACCGUGUUGCUGUUGUUGUUUUUUUUUUUUUUUAUUAUUAUUUUAUCGGCGCGCAAUGAUAAAGACAUUUAAUAUUUUUAAUAUACAGCACGUGUACGGUAUACGGG